GAUUCCGUUAUUUCACUUUCAGCACACUGGUUCUCAUCCAGUUGUCAAAGUUAAGCAAUGUCAAGCUUAGUUAGCACUUAGAUGGGUUACCACUUGAAAAACCUUGGUGUUACAAGCA
rnacentral:rRNA from 1 species